UACGGAGGGUGCGAGCGUUGUCCGGAAUCAUUGGGCGUAAAGGGCGCGUAGGUGGCCCGGUCAGUCUUUGGUGAAAGCGCGGGGCUCAACCCUGCGUCGGCCAGGGAUACUGCCGCGGCUCGAGCACUGUAGAGGCAGGCGGAAUUCCGGGUGUAGUGGUGAAAUGCGUAGAGAUCCGGAGGAACCCCAGAGGCGAAGGCGGCGCUCUGGCUCAGCCCUGACGCUCAGACACGACAGCAUGGGGAGCGAACGGG
rnacentral:rRNA from 1 species